rnacentral:lncRNA from 1 species
ACUCAUGUUUUCUUAAUUAAAUUGAUGAUUUAGAAAUACCCAUGGGCCUAAUACUCAAGGUAUACAAGGCCUUUCUUAAAAAUCACCGUAAAGAAGGACCUAGUAUUGUGAUGUGUCAAGCAUUAAAUCUCUCAUGCAUUAACUACCCCGGCCCUCUGCAUGCAUCGACCGGUCAAAAACUUAGUCUAACAUAUAGGGACUCCUAACAUGUAUCAGCUAGUUUGAGGUGAAAGUUGCUGAGAGAAGAGAAUGUACUUGUAUAUUGAAAUUUCAAUAUUUACAUCUCAAUUAGUACUUUUCAAAAAAAAAAAUAUUCCCUCCAAUCCAUAUUACUUGUCGAAAUAUUACAUGUAUUUAGACGCUUUUUAAACAUAAAUAUAUUCACAUUUAGUC